rnacentral:rRNA from 1 species
GUAGGGUGCGAGCGUUAAUCGGGAAUUACUGGGGCGUAAAGCGUGCGCAGGCGGUUGUGCAAGACAGAUGUGAAAUCCCCGGGGCUCAACCUGGGAAUUGCAUUUGUGACUGUACGGCUAGAGUGUGUCAGAGGGGGGGUAGAAUUCCACGUGUAGCAGUGAAAUGCGUAGAGAUGUGGAGGAAUACCGAUGGCGAAGGCAGCCCCCUGGGAUAACACUGACGCUCAUGCACGAAAGCGUGGGGAGCAAACAGGAUUAGAUACCCUGGUAGUCCACGCCCUAAACGAUGUCAACUAGUUGUCGGGUCUUAAUUGACUUGGUAACGCAGCUAACGCGUGAAGUUGACCGCCUGGGGAGUACGGUCGCAAGAUUA